rnacentral:rRNA from 1 species
UACGUAGGGUGCGAGCGUUUAAUCGGGAAUUACUGGGCGUAAAGCGCACGUAGGCGGCUUUGUAAGUUAGAGGUGAAAGCCCGGGGCUCAACCCCGGAAUUGCCUUUAAGACUGCAUCGCUAGAAUUGUGGAGAGGUGAGUGGAAUUCCGAGUGUAGAGGUGAAAUUCGUAGAUAUUCGGAAGAACACCAGUGGCGAAGGCGACUCACUGGACACAUAUUGACGCUGAGGUGCGAAAGCGUGGGGAGCAAACAGG